GUUGAAUGUUCAUUGAGAAUCAGUUGCUUGGUGUGAUUGUAACAUUUUUUAAUUGUCUUUAAGAAAUUGAUCUAUUUUUUAUUCUAUUUUAUCAAUUUUAUCAAUUGCUCAAUUCUAAAUUAGUAUCAAGUGUGUGUGUGUGUUGUCCCAAGAUGGAUUUUGAAGAGAAACCAUUUUUUCUCCAGCUGACCAACAGGUCCUGGUGCUCGUUCUGUUGGGGGACUCCUUCACCACCAUCAGCUGAUCUUUUCGCUGACCUCAUGAAAUCAUGUAAUUGAAUCGUUCGAUCAAUUUUGGUGAAUUCACUUUGAAAAAUGAUCUCUAUAUCAAUCUAAUAACCAAUGACAGUACCACCGAUAGCGUUAUGGUUUUGGGACCAAAGGUAUUCGUUUAGAUUGGAAGGAGAUAAAGUUUAAA